rnacentral:ncRNA from 1 species
CGCGGUCCUCGGUAGUGGUCUCCGGGACGCGCGGGACUUCCCGCCCGGCCCGUGGGCCUCGAUCGAAGACCGGG